UACAGAGACUGCAAGCGUUAUUCGGAUUCACUGGGCGUAAAGGGUGCGCAGGCGGCCGUGUGUGUCAGGUGUGAAAGCCCGGGGCUUAACCCCGGAAUUGCGCCUGAAACUACAUGGCUAGAGCAUUGGAGAGGGUAGCGGAAUUCACGGUGUAGCAGUGAAAUGCGUAGAUAUCGUGAGGAACACCAGAGGCGAAGGCGGCUACCUGGACAAUUGCUGACGCUCAGGCACGAAAGCUAGGGGAGCAAACAGG
rnacentral:rRNA from 1 species